AGGGAGUCAUUAAGGAAAAAUAAUUGCAAAACAUGUAUAUGUGGUACUGCAUUAUGCUGAACACAAGGGGCAUAACUAAGACCAGCUGGGUCCAAGUGCUAGAACGAAACAAGGGCAUCUCUCGUUAUUCCUCUUUGACUUACUCUUCCCUCCAAACCAUGCACCUGAGUGGUGUAUGUGUGGGAGCUGUGUGUGUAAUAACAUAAAAAAAAAUUUUUAACGAUCUCCUGCUUACCUUCCUGUAGGUAAUCUACGGUGGUCCCAUG